AGCUUCUGUUUUUGUUUCAGAUUUCCAGCGUCUGAAAUUGUUUGUUUUAUUCCAGAUGAUCUGGGCUAAUUUACAGGCCAGAGAAUUCCCACAAUAGUGUAUCCUUGUUGAAUCCUAUGAGUCAGAGUUCCUUGAACUUGAAUACCAAUAAUUCCUGGCUGUAACAUACCAGAGGCAACUCUCUGGAGCUCAACCUAUAUUAUUUUAUUGAGAUCCCCUGCUGAUGAGGAGCAUUCAUUUCUGGAACGAGAGUGGAUGCAGCCUUCACUGAAUCCAGAGGCAGAGCUCCACAAGUGAUGUCGCUGUUCAAAAAGUGAUGUAGGGCAAGAAAAUUGGCAGCCAGGGAAACAACU